AGACAAUACAUUCUUCAGUGUCCGGCAGCCUUAUACCCGUAUAAUGGUCAUGUUACGACACUCCUCAAUAAAUUAGCGAUCUCUCGGCUGUCGCCUUGUAUAAAUGUACACAAUGCUGGAAGUACUUCUCUCCGUCUGCAAGUCACAGGUCCGUCAACACAUACUCAGGAAGGCACGGGGAUACUAAACCAUGGCCUGCAUGGCGCUGAGGAGGGCUGUCAUUUCUUUUUUCGCUUGCAGUUAUUACACUGCUUCUUUGAUAUCUGGGACAAUCGAGGCAGAAAGAGGUUUUCGGAACUUGCCAUCAUCUCGAGGAUCAUAUCUUGCGGAGAAAGCUUCAACUUCGCGCCUAUUUUACCUCUAAUCUUCGAUACCAAAACGGCACCAAAAUAACAGGUGACUACCCCCAGGACCCGGCAUAUUCCGCGCGAUUACAGAGUCUGCAGACUGCACGUAGUCCGCAAGUAGUCAGCCACUCGAAAUAGUUCAUGUUUGCCUCUUUUUUCCUUUUAUACGAAGCAGGAGCUCUUGACUCGAAUAUCCAACCUGGGGAACGGAAGUUUUCCAGGCUCCAUGAAGCUUGGAACCCCGAGGUCUAUCGACAGCAUCUAGGUACCGAGAGCAUACCGGGUAAACUCAAGCAUUCCGGUUGCAAGUGCAUAGCUCAUAUAAAAGGUCCCCGUUCUUGGGAAUAAUUGAG